ACCGAUCAGAGCCCAAAUUGUCCAACUAACCCCAAAAACAUCUUUGUCGUCUUGAUCGCGACGUUUUACUCAGAACAACGGAAAACUAAAUCUAGAGCACCGGAUUUAUGUCUGAGGCAGAUGCAAAGAAACUGUGGAACUUUCACUUUGCACGUUGCAGGUAGACUACAAAGUUCAAAGUGUCGGGAAAAGGAGACCAGUGGUGAGAUGACGGAUGGCAGCGAAGGUGGGAUGAAGGUAAAUAGAGAAGGAUCAUCUACCGCUGUGUAGAUGUCAUUAAACCUCCCGCCACAAGGGGGCGCAGCGCCGCUGUCAAUGAGGCGAGAGGUCAGUGUGAUCAGGUGGUGGCCCGACGCAGGUGUUUCUGGCGCCUGCGAUAAUGAACGAAGAUGAACGUUAUGAUUCAUUGUGUUGAUGAUGUGACCGAGAAAGAGCCUCUGCUCUGAUUCUGGUAACGCCGAGAUGGUGAGUAAUCAAUUGCCUUUUAUCUUGGUUGAAAUCGGGUUGAAAUGCGGUCUGGACGUCUGCGACCUCGUUUCAACCGGCUAAAAAGUGGGCAAAACGUUAAUUUGUUAAUAAUGUGUCAUAUUGUAACGUAAGGUUGAAAGAGACUAUAUUAUCAUGACGAUUUUAAUAAAAUGGUCGGCGCAAUGCUCCACCUAAAACGUCAGAAAUAUGGACAAGAUGCUUUUAAGACGUAGCAAUGCGGUCAGUUUUACGCUCCGCUCACAUCUGUAACGCGCAUGCGCAAGUUCUUGGCCGCUUGCAGCGCUUCCACCGGAUGCGGCACGAGGCGAAGUUUGUGCGGCAGCAGAGCGACAUGAACCGGCUGAUAGAACCACGGCUACCGGCUCCAAUACUCUGUUUCUGUGGAUGCUGGAGGCCUGAUGGAGGUUACGCCUGAUGGAGGUUGUCCCUGCAGUGGUCCUGCCGUACACCUGGCUUACUACUAAAUAUUUGAAUCAUUUCUGUCGUAGGAAUUGAACGUACUCUAAAUCUUUAAGUUGUUCAUUCUGUACACACUUUUUUUCUCUGCAGUUCUCCUUUUGGUUUCUCUCAUUUGAAGGUUUCUGUUUUUUCCAUUUGAGUUUUUCCUGUUCCAUGUUUCGGGACCAGAAGUUGCAUGUUUGCGGACUGUAAAGCUCUCUAAUGCUCAUUUGUAAUUUUGGGCUGUACAAAAAUAAAAUGAUUUGAUUUGAAUUAACACGUUGACCGGAGGAAUCAGCCAUAUCUGUAAUUGAGGGGUGUUCUGUGCAUUCUGACUCCCUUUACACAAAGAAUCAAGUGACCAUAAGGGCGAUGGAGCUGAUCUCACGUAUUCUAUCCCAAUUCGUGACUCAGAACCAGAUCUUGUUACAGGAUCGGAAAAUGAAGUUCCAAAAAUUCAGCAAAAUGGGCUACAGACAGAUUUCUAAAUAAACUUGUCCAUGUUUAUACUUUUUUUUUUAAUUCAUAGUUUAUUUUCCCUGAAGUGUUUUACUUUUUUUAUUUAAGAAAUGGCAUAUGUAUAGUGUUAUAUUUUUAUUUAAUAAAUACUAUAAUGUUGAGGGCUGUUAA